GACGAACGCUGGCGGCGGGCCUAAUACAUGCCAGUCGAGCGAGUAAGGCAGGUCAUUGCACCCACUUGAAGAACAGCGAACGGGUGAGUAACGCGUGGGGUAGCUGUAUUUGAGCGGGAGUCAACAUAUGGAAACGAAUGCUAAUACCGCAUAAUAACUUUAAACAUAAGAUUUAAGUUUGAAAGAUGAGAUUGCAUCACUCAAAGAUGAUCACCCGUUGUAUUAGCUAUUGGGUGGGUUAAAGGCCGACCAAGGGGAGGAUAGAUAACGGACCUGAGAGGGUGCUCUGCCACGUUGGGACUGGAACACGACCCAAAACCCUGCGAGAGGCAGCAGUAGGGAAUCUUCGGCAAUGGACGAAAGGGUGACUGAGCGACGCCGCGUGAGUGAAGAAGGUUGUCGGGUCGUAAAACUCUGGUGGUAGUGAAGGUCGUUGGUGAGAGUGGGAAGCGAAUCAAGUGGCGGUACCUACACAGAAAGCCACGGCUAACUUCGUG
rnacentral:rRNA from 1 species